AGGGUUUGAUCAUGGCUCAGAUUGAACGCUGGCGGCAGGCCUAACACAUGCAAGUCGAGCGAGAAAUCACUUCGGUGAGAGUACAGCGGCGGACGGGUGAGUAACGCGUAGGAAUCUACCCGGUAGUGGGGGACAACAUGUGGAAACGCAUGCUAAUACCGCAUACGCCCUAUGGGGGAAAGCGGGGGACCUUCGGGCCUCGCGCUAUCGGAUGAGCCUGCGUAAGAUUAGCUAGUUGGUGGGGUAAAGGCCUACCAAGGCGACGAUCUUUAGCUGGUCUGAGAGGAUGAUCAGCCACACUGGGACUGAGACACGGCCCAGACUCCUACGGGAGGCAGCAGUGGGGAAUAUUGCGCAAUGGGCGAAAGCCUGACGCAGCCAUGCCGCGUGUGUGAAGAAGGCCCUAGGGUUGUAAAGCACUUUCAAUUGGGAAGAAAAGCUUGUCGUUAAUAUCGGCAAGCCCUGACAUUACCUUUAGAAGAAGCACCGGCUAACUCCGUGCCAGCAGCCGCGGUAAUACGGAGGGUGCGAGCGUUAAUCGGAAUUACUGGGCGUAAAGCGCGCGUAGGCGGUUAGUUAAGUCAGCUGUGAAAGCCCUGGGCUCAACCUGGGAACUGCAGUUGAUACUGGCCAACUAGAGUGCAAGAGAGGGAGGUAGAAUUCCACGUGUAGCGGUGAAAUGCGUAGAUAUGUGGAGGAAUACCGGUGGCGAAGGCGGCCUCCUGGCUUGACACUG
rnacentral:rRNA from 1 species